GACGGAAGGUGCAAGCGUUGCUCGGAAUCACUGGGCGUAAAGGGUGCGUAGGCGGCUUCUUAAGUCUGGUGUGAAAGCCCAGGGCUCAGCUCUGGAAGUGCACUAGAAACUGGGGAGCUUGAGUACCGGAGGGGAGAGUGGAAUUCCUGGUGUAGCGGUGAAAUGCGUAGAUAUCAGGAGGAAUACCGGUGGCGAAAGCGACUCUCUGGACGGUUACUGACGCUGAGGCACGAAAGCGUGGGGAGCAAAC
rnacentral:rRNA from 2 species